rnacentral:rRNA from 1 species
UACGGAGGAUCCAAGCGUUAUCCGGAUUUAUUGGGUUUAAAGGGAGCGUAGGUUGACAUAUAAGUCAGCUGUGAAAGUUUACGGCUCAACCGUGAAAUUGCAGUUGAUACUGUCUGUCUUGAGUGUACAAGAGGUGGGCGGAAUUCGUGGUGUAGCGGUGAAAUGCUUAGAUAUCACGAAGAACUCCAAUUGCGAAGGCAGCUCACUGGGGUACAACUGACACUGAGGCUCGAAAGUGUGGGUAUCAAACAGGAUUAGAUACCCUGGUAGUCCACACAGUAAACGAUGAAUACUCGCUGUUUGCGAUAUACAGUAAGCGGCCAAGCGGAAGCAUUAAGUAUUCCACCUGGGGAGUACGCCGGCAACGGUGA